rnacentral:tRNA from 1 species
GCUCCAAUAGCUCAACUGGAUAGAGCGUCGGCCUUCGAAGCCGCAGGUUGCAGGUCCGACUCCUGCUUGGAGCACAA